rnacentral:rRNA from 1 species
GAUGAACGCUGGCGGCGUGCUUAACACAUGCAAGUCGAACGAAAAGAGGAGACGCUAACCUUCCGGCGGAUGGCUUUACUUCGAGUGGCGACCGGGGGAUUAACGCGCUGUUAAACUGCCUCAUACUCGGGGAUAACAGUUUGAAACGACUGUUAAUACCGCAUAAGAUCACAGCAUCGCAUGGUGCGGGGGUAAAAACUCCGGUGGUAUGAGAUGGACCCGCGUUCGAUUAGCCGGAUGGCGGGGUAACGGCCCACCAAAGCGACGAUCGAUAGACAAGCUGAGAGGAUGACCGGCCACAUUUGGAGUGGGACACGGCCCGGACUCCUACGGGAGGCAGCAGAGGGGAAUAGUGCACAGUGGGGGAAACGAUGAUGGACCGACGCCGCGUAAGUGAAGAAGUUUUUCGGUAAGAAAAGCUCUAUUAGCAAUGAAGAAAAUGACAGUACCUGAGUAGAAAGCCCCGGCUAACUACGUG